AUUUUUCUAUAUAAAAAAUGCAAUUAAUACGCUCUCGGAUUAUAAAUUAAGUGAAUCGAAAAUAACCAGAAAAAAAAGGGCUAAAAUUUAUCUUAACCCUUUAUAGAAAAAUGAUAAAUAGUUCGGAAAGAGUGACGCCCAAAUUUCACAUCAAUCCUACGUUCACAUUAGUGGCCCACGUGGCCUAUAAAAUUUUGCGUUGUUCACCUCCACCCAAGCAUACUGAGGGGGUCGUGAAAAUUUUCGCUAAUGCCGGUACUGAUCCAAAAUAACGCGAGCAUCUCGUGAUCACGAACUAGUGCACUGACGUCCCACACAUAACACUCCAGCUAUAUAGUUCUGACGUGCGAUGAUGUAUGACCACUUCAUUGUUACACUUCAAACCAUCAUUGUUAUAUUCUAUUGUACUGGGGGUGAUAGAAAAUAUAAGCUUACAGGGCUUUAUCUUUCAUCUGACACGUUAAAGUUUGUGGGUUGCUUGUCAUCCACAAACGAGACUUUAAAUCUUUUCGUUUAUGUAUUUCCGAGGUUGUCAGUUAAGUUUAUGAAUGAAAUUAAAAAGUUCCUCAAGUUUCAACUUUAUUCUUAAGAAAUAAUCUACCUUAGAGAUUGAUUUAUAACAUUUUUUUUUUUUAAAAG
rnacentral:lncRNA from 1 species